GACGAACGCUGGCGGCGUGCUUAACACAUGCAAGUCGAACGGAGAGGCCCUGCUUUUGUGGGGUGCUCGAGUGGCGAACGGGUGAGUAACACGUGAGUAACCUGCCCUUGACUUUGGGAUAACUUCAGGAAACUGGGGCUAAUACCGGAUAGGAGCUCCUGCUGCAUGGUGGGGGUUGGAAAGUUUCGGCUGUUGGGGAUGGACUCGCGGCUUAUCAGCUUGUUGGUGGGGUAGUGGCUUACCAAGGCUUUGACGGGUAGCCGGCCUGAGAGGGUGACCGGCGACAUUGGGACUGAGAUACGGCCCAGACUCCUACGGGAGGCAGCAGUGGGGAAUAUUGCACAAUGGGCGGAAGCCUGAUGCAGAAACGCCGCGUGCGGGAUGACGGCCUUCGGGUUGUAAACCGCUUUCGCCUGUGACGAAGCGUGAGUGACGGUAAUGGGUAAAGAAGCACCGGCUAACUACGUG
rnacentral:rRNA from 1 species